GAUGAACGCUGGCGGUCUGCUUAACACAUGCAAGUCGAACGGAAUCCUUAGGGAUUUAGUGGCGGACGGGUGAGUAACACGUAAGAACCUGCCUCUAGGACGGGGACAACAGUUGGAAACGACUGCUAAACCCGGAUGAGCCGAAAGGUAAAAGAUUAAUCGCCUAGAGAGGGGCUUGCGUCUGAUUAGCUAGUUGGUGAGGUAAGAGCCCACCAAGGCGACGAUCAGUAGCUGGUCUGAGAGGAUGAUCAGCCACACUGGGACUGAGACACGGCCCAGACUCCUACGGGAGGCAGCAGUGGGGAAUUUUCCGCAAUGGGCGAAAGCCUGACGGAGCAAGACCGCGUGGGGGAGGAAGGUUCUUGGAUUGUCAACCCCUUUUCUCAGGGAAGAACACAAUGACGGUACCUGAGGAAAAAGCAUCGGCUAACUCCGUGCCAGCAGCCGCGGUAAUACGGGGGAUGCAAGCGUUAUCCGGAAUGAUUGGGCGUAAAGAGUCCGUAGGUAGUCAUCCAAGUCUGCUGUUAAAGAGCGAGGCUUAACCUCGUAAAGGCAGUGGAAACUGGAAGACUAGAGUGUAGUAGGGGCAGAGGGAAUUCCUGGUGUAGCGGUGAAAUGCGUAGAGAUCAGGAAGAACACCGGUGGCGAAGGCGCUCUGCUGGGCUAUAACUGACACUGAGGGACGAAAGCUAGGGGAGCGAAUGGGAUUAGAUACCCCAGUAGUCCUAGCGGUAAACGAUGGAAACUAGGUGUGGCCUGUAUCGACCCGGGCCGUGCCGAAGCAAACGCGUUAAGUUUCCCGCCUGGGGAGUACGCACGCAAGUGUGAAACUCAAAGGAAUUGACGGGGGCCCGCACAAGCGGUGGAGUAUGUGGUUUAAUUCGAUGCAACGCGAAGAACCUUACCAGGACUUGACAUCUCUGGAAUCUCCUUGAAAGGGGAGAGUGCCGUAAGGAACCAGAAGACAGGUGCUGCAUGGCUGUCGUCAGCUCGUGUCGUGAGAUGUUGGGUUAAGUCCCGCAACGAGCGCAACCCUCGUCGUUAGUUGCCAUCAUUAAGUUGGGAACUCUAGCGAGACUGCCGGUGACAAACCGGAGGAAGGUGAGGAUGACGUCAAGUCAGCAUGGCCCUUACGUCCUGGGCGACACACGUACUACAAUGCGAGGGACACAGAGCAGCCAACCCGCGAGGGAGAGCGAAUCUCACAAACCCUGGCACAGUUCAGAUUGCAGGCUGCAACUCGCCUGCAUGAAGGAGGAAUCGCUAGUAAUCGCAGGUCAGCAUACUGCGGUGAAUCCGUUCCCGGGCCUUGUACACACCGCCCGUCACACCAUGGAAGUGAGCCACGCCCGAAGUCAUUACUCUAACCCUUUCGGGGGAGGAGGGUGCCGAAGGCGGGGUUGAUGACUGGGGUGAA
rnacentral:rRNA from 2 species